rnacentral:lncRNA from 1 species
UGAUAGUAGUCGAGUUCGGUUGUUAGGACCGAAGGGUAGUCAGACACCCCAGAUACGUCUGACAGUAUGUGAUGAUAUGUUUGCAUGCUGGCUUGUUAUGUUAUAUGCGAUAGAGGUAGUAUGAGGGGACCAGUCCCCGUGUUCGGUUGUUAGGACCGAAGGGUAGUUCAGGCACCCCAGAUAUGUCUGAUAGUAUGUUUAUGUUAUGAUAUAUGUGAUAGUAGCAGUAGGGGGUGGAAUAGUCCCCGAGGGUCGGUUGUUAGGACCGACGGGUAGGUCAGCACCCCAGAAUGGCUUGACAUGGGUAGGUCAGCACCCCAGAAUGGCUUGACACGGGUAGGUCAGCACCCCAGAAUGGCUUGACACGGGUAGGUCGGGCACCCCAGAAUUGUCCGGCAGUAUGUAUGCUAUGUGAUUGUAUGGUAUGUGGUAUGAUGGGGGAACUCACUAAGCUUUGUGCUUACGGUUUUUAGUUUUGGU